rnacentral:lncRNA from 1 species
GACGUAUUGUCCUUUUUCUUUUUUUUUAAACUGUGGGAAAAUGUGCUAGCAGACAUGAUUCGGGGUAGGGACAGAGUCACCCCGCGAAAUCACCUACUUUUAAUAGAGUGGGGCGGGUGCUGAGCCGGUUACCGCCACGCAGAUCCCUAGUGCAGCACAGAAACAGCCCUUAAAUCCUCUGCGGCGGGCUCCCGCUUCUGUCCCUGCUCUUGAAAUAGCUACCCUGCCUACCAAGGGCUUUCACUGAAUCUAUUCCUAACCGGGAGUUUUCCGCGUCAAAAUCCACGUUUACUAUUUCGCCCCUGCUUUAAAAUGAUGAUUCUCAAAGGGAAAAAAAAAAAAGAAAAAAGCAGUUUUUCUGGGUUCCACCCCCAUAGAUUACAUGUAAUUGGUCUGGACUCAGGGAUUGAUUUCCCAAAGGAUUCUAAUGUGUAGUCACAUAGACAUUAACUGUUAAAAGUGUCAGUUGUUUUGAUCCUUUACUGACAUCUUUUUGCAACUCCUAAGGUGUAAGCAAAGCUGGUGCUGUUUUUCCUACAGUUAAGAUACUCUCAUUUUAUUGUUUCUUUUCCU